rnacentral:rRNA from 1 species
GACAGAGGUGCCAAGCGUUAGGCGGAAUCACUGGGCUUAAAGCGUGUGUAGGCGGAUCGUUAAGUACCUUGUGAAAUCCCAUGGCUCAACCAUGGAACUGCUCGGUAUACUGCGAAUCUUGAGCCACUUAGGGGCUACCGGAACAAAUGGUGGAGCGGUGAAAUGCGUAGAUAUCAUUUGGAACGCCAAUGGUGAAAACAGGUAGCUGGGAGUGUGCUGACACUGAGAACACGAAAGCCAGGGGAGCGAACGGG